rnacentral:lncRNA from 1 species
GAGGGGAAGCGCCCAAGGUCACACAGCUGGGAUGUGGCAGAGCUGGGGUUCCAGCUCCUGUUCCCAUUGCUGGACAGCUGCCACAUCUGGCACCCAAUUUAGGACCCCGCGGGGAGGCCCAAGCCCCGGGGGUGGCGGGGGAUCCUAGAGGAAAGUGGCAAGGCCAGGACCCUGGAGCAGAGCCAGAGUAGAAAACUGAGGCUCUGAGAGAUGAAGCUACUUGCCAAGGUCACGCAGCACAGUCACAUCCUACUGAACAUCAUCCUGUUCUCUGGGUGGAAUGUCACCAUCGCCCAGGUGGGGAUUUUUGUGUGUUUUGUUCACUGCUGUACACCCAGCCCCCAGCACAGCGCCUGUCCAGGACAAGUGCCCAGUAAACACUUGGGAAGCAAUGCAAGCGUCCUCCCAGCAGCUCCUGCAAACAGACCCCCGACCCAAGCCCUUCCUUCUGCCUCCACUGCCACCACUGCUGCUCAUCUCUGCUGGCACAGAAGUCUCUUCCCUGGUCUUCCAGAAAUCCCCUCUCCACACUCAGCCAGAGGGAGCUAUUAAAACUGUGGGCCAGCCCACAUCAGUCCACAGCAAAGUCCUCUCUAAGGGAUCUCUGUUGCUUGGAGAAUAAACCCUCGGAUUCCUUCCUUGGCUCUCGGGGCCUCCUCUCUGACCUCCCUCUGUCUCCUCUCCCAGCCUUCCUCCUCACUCACCCUCCAGCCAUGCUGGCUUCCUCCUUGCUCCUGAAACAGCCUGAGGCCCACACUGCCCCGGGCCCUUUGCACUGGCUGUUUCCUCUGCCUGGAACACUUCUCCUAGGCAUCCACAGGGCUCCCUCCCACAACUCCUUCGGGUGCCCACAUGGGAAGCCAUCCCUGACCACCCCCCCGACUUCCUUCUGAGCAAGGUAGGGUCUUUCUACCUAGUCAUGAGGGCAGGGAUUUUUGUCUGUUGUGUUCUCUGUGUGCCCCCAGUGCCAUCCCAGUGCCUGGCAGAUGGUAAGUGCUCGACACACAUUGGCUGACUGCCUGAAUGAACAACUCUAUGAGCCGAUGGCAGAUAAGGACACUGAGGUCCUCUGGGGUAGGUGACCAGCCCAAGGCCACACAGCUGGUCUGAGAUUAGGCCAGGAGAGGAGCCCGGGUUGGUCACAUCCUGGAGUUGGCGUCUUGGAAACUGCAUCAGGAGAAUAACAAAGAUGAGACGCAGGCUCUAACAAGUGGAUACCAGUGACUCUCGCCCCGCCAGCCCCAGCCCUGCAGCCUUGGGCCCUUCCAGGAGUCAUGGUCUGCCUGCCUGGGGCAUUCCAGGCUUCGACCCAGGUCCUGCACUUUCUAUUUUGAGCCUCUUAGUCCUGAGGACUGUGUGUUCCCAGCAGGCGGCGCGGGCCAGAGGCUGAGCCUGGGUGUGGCUGUCACCCUAUCUGGGGCCAGAGACCCAGAUUCCCGGGCCCUUAACCUGUUGGCUGCUGAGGGCUCUGGCAUAAGCCCUGUUCCCUGCUUGAUUGUCUCCCCUUCAAGCCCCUGCCCUGGUAUCGUAUCGGCCCAUCUCACCUUGGAUUAUAUCCCUGUUUGGCCCCAUUUGAAUCCUGGCUCUGCCCCUUUCCAGCAAUGUGACCUUGGGCAAGUCACUUCAUCUCUCUGGGUCUCAGUUUCUUCAUCUGGGAAAUGGGGACAAUAAGAGUACCUGUCUCUGGCCAUGUGUGGUGACUCAUGCCUGUAACCCCAGCGCUUUGGGAAGCCGAGGCGAGAGAAUUGCUUGAGACCAGGAGUUUGAGAUCAGCCCUGGGCAACAUAGUGAGACCCCUGUCUCUACAAAAUUCUAAAAAAAUUAGCCGGGUGUGGUGGUGUGUGCCUGUAGUCCCAGCUAUUCUAGAGGCUGAGGCGGGAGGAUUGCUUGAGCCCAGGAGUUUGAGGCUGCAGUGAGCUAUGAUUAUGCCCCUGCACAUCAGCCUGGGUGAUAGAUUGAGGCCCCAUCUCUAAAAAUAACAAUACUAAUAAUAAAUAAAAAUGAAAAUGAG